rnacentral:tRNA from 1 species
GCCCCAGUGGCAUAACUGCUGAGCACUUGGCUGCUAACCAGAAGGUUGGUAGUCAAACCCACCCUGUGGCU